rnacentral:rRNA from 1 species
UCAAGCGAACAAGGGCGCAGGGCGAAUGCCUUGGCACUGGGAGCCGAUGAAAGACGUGAUAAGCUGCGAUAAGCUUCGGGGAGGAGCAAAUAUCCCGUGAUCCGGAGAUGUCUGAAUGGGGAAACCCGGUACGAAGAACUCGUAUCAUCCAUACGCCAAUCCAUAACGUAUGGAAGGGAACCCGGUGAACUGAAACAUCUAAGUAGCCGGAGGAAGAGAAAGAAACAUCGAUUUCCUGAGUAGCGGCGAGCGAAAGGGAAAGAGCCUAAACCGAGAUGCGUGCAUUUCGGGGUAAUGGACUACAAUAAGUGAGCAAAAAGAUAGAAGAACAGGCAGGAAAGCCUGGCCGAAGAAAGUGAAAGCCUUGUAUUCGAAAUCUGAAUUGCAGCGAGUAGUAUCCGGAGUACUGCGGGACACGAGAAACCCUGCAGGAAGUCGGGGGGACCACCCCCCAAGGCUAAAUACUACUCAGUGACCGAUAGCGCAUAGUACUGUGAAGGAAAGGUGAAAAGGACCCCGGGAGGGGAGUGAAAGAGAACCUGAAACCCUGUGUUUACAAGCUGUGGAACCACCAUACGAGUGGAACCGCGUACUUUUUGUAGAACGGUCCGGCGAGUCACGCCGGCUGGCAAGGUUAAGGACUAAAGGUCCGGAGCCGAAGGGAAACCAAGUCUUAAUAGGGCGAAGAGUCAGUCAGCGUGGACCCGAAAUCGGGUGAUCUACCCAUGUCCAGGAUGAAGCUGCCGUAAGAGGUAGUGGAGGUCCGAACACACAUCCGUUGAAAAGGGUGGUGAUGAGGUGUGGGUAGGGGAGAAAUUCCAAUCGAACCCGGAGAUAGCUGGUUCUCCUCGAAAUAGCUUUAGGGCUAGCCUUCAGUUAGUCUGCCGCAGGUAGAGCACUGAAUUUCCUAGGGGGCGUCAAAGCCUACCGAAGAAUAUCAAACUCCGAAUGGCGGACAGAUGAUGCCAGGGAGUCAGACUGCACGAGAUAAGUUGGGUGGUCAAAAGGGAAAGAGCCCAGACCUACAGCUAAGGUCCCAAAGUGCGUGUUAAGUGGAAAAGGAUGUGGGAUUUCGAAGACAACUAGGAUGUUGGCUCAGAAGCAGCCAUACAUUCAAAGAGUGCGUAAUAGCUCACUAGUCGAGAGGUCCUGCGCCGAAAAUGUCCGGGGCUGAAACACGACACCGAAGCUUAGGAAUCAGAAAUGAUUGGUAGAGGAGCAUUCUUAAAUCAUCGAAGCUGUACCGAUAAGGAGCAGUGGAGGUUUAAGAAGAGAGAAUGCCGGAAUGAGUAGCGAGAAUGAAGUGAGAAUCUUCAUGGCCGAAUAUCCAAGGUUUCCAGGGUAAAGCUGAUCUGCCCUGGGUUAGUCGGGGCCUAAGGCGAGGCUGAGAAGCGUAGCUGAUGGACAACAGGUUGAAAUUCCUGUACUGCCUUAUAACAGAACUGUGGGGACACAUGUUCAGGUCGCGAGCCGGGAAAGGAAAGCCCGGUGCAAGCAGAGGUUAUCGGUGGGAGGCAAACCCCCCACAAAAGAGAAGACUGCGAUGCGGAGCGAAGAAAAGUAGCGAAGAGCGAUGAGAAUGUGUCGAGAAAAGCCGCUAUUGUUUAUAAGGUACCCGUACCGUAAACCGACACAGGUGGAUGAGGAGAGAAUCCUAAGGCCGGCGGGAGAAGCAUUGUUAAGGAACUCGGCAAAAUGACCCCGUAACUUCGGGAGAAGGGGUGCCUGCGAGAGCAGGCCGCAGAGAAUAGGCUCAAGCAACUGUUUAGCAAAAACACAGGUCUAUGCAAAACCGAAAGGUGAGGUAUAUGGGCUGACGCCUGCCCGGUGCUGGAAGGUUAAGAGGAGAGGUUAGCGCAAGCGAAGCUUUGAAUUUAAGCCCCAGUAAACGGCGGCCGUAACUAUAACGGUCCUAAGGUAGCGAAAUUCCUUGUCGGGUAAGUUCCGACCCGCACGAAAGGCGUAAUGAUUUGAGCACUGUCUCGACAAUGCACCCGGUGAAAUUGAAGUACCAGUGAAGAUGCUGGUUACCUGCGCCAGGACGGAAAGACCCCAUGGAGCUUUACUCCAGUUUGAUACUGGGAUUCGGUACUGCACGUACAGGAUAGGUGGGAGACUGAGAACUAUGGACGCCAGUCUGUAGGGAGUCGCUGUUGGGAUACCACCCCUGUAGUACUGGGUUUCUAACCAGCUGCCGUGAACCGGCAGUGGGACAAUGUCAGGCGGGGAGUUUGACUGGGGCGGUCGCCUCCGAAAGGGUAUCGGAGGCGCUCAAAGGUUCCCUCAGAAUGGUUGGAAACCAUUCGAAGAGUGCAAAGGCAGAAGGGAGCUUGACUGCGACACCGACGGGUGGAGCAGGUACGAAAGUAGGACUUAGUGAUCCGGUGGUAUAAAGUGGGAUUGCCAUCGCUCAACGGAUAAAAGCUACCCUGGGGAUAACAGGCUUAUCACUCCCAAGAGUUCACAUCGACGGAGUGGUUUGGCACCUCGAUGUCGGCUCAUCGCAUCCUGGGGCUGUAGCAGGUCCCAAGGGUUGGGCUGUUCGCCCAUUAAAGCGGUACGCGAGCUGGGUUCAGAACGUCGUGAGACAGUUCGGUCCCUAUCCUCCGUGGGCGCAGGAGAAUCGAUGGAGGCUGCCCCCAGUACGAGAGGACCGGGGUGGACGCACCUCCGGUGAACCGGUUGUCGACCAACGGCACGGCCGGGUAGCCGCGUGCGGCGCGGAUAACCGCUGAAGGCAUCUAAGCGGGAAGCCGUUCCAGGGAUUAGUUCUCCUUCCGGUAAGGGCCCAGGUAGACUACCUGGUCGAUAGACGGCAGGUGCAAGGACGGCGACGUCCUCAGCCGAGCCGCACUAAUCGCCCGAGCUCUUCCGGAA